GAGUUUGAUCCUGGCUCAGGAUGAACGCUGGCGGCGUGCCUAACACAUGCAAGUCGAGCGAAGCACUUUUUUAGAACUCUUCGGAGGGAAGAGAGGGUGACUUAGCGGCGGACGGGUGAGUAACGCGUGGGCAACCUGCCUUACACAGGGGGAUAACAAUUAGAAAUGAUUGCUAAUACCGCAUAAGACCCCAGUGCCGCAUGGUACAGGGGUAAAAACUGAGGUGGUGUAAGAUGGGCCCGCGUCUGAUUAGGUAGUUGGUGGGGUAGAAGCCUACCAAGCCGACGAUCAGUAGCCGACCUGAGAGGGCGACCGGCCACAUUGGGACUGAGACACGGCCCAAACUCCUACGGGAGGCAGCAGUGGGGAAUAUUGCACAAUGGGGGAAACCCUGAUGCAGCGACGCCGCGUGAGUGAGGAAGUAUUUCGGUAUGUAAAGCUCUAUCAGCAGGGAAGAAAAUGACGGUACCUGACUAAGAAGCCCCGGCUAACUACGUGCCAGCAGCCGCGGUAAUACGUAGGGGGCAAGCGUUAUCCGGAUUUACUGGGUGUAAAGGGAGCGUAGACGGAAUUGCAAGUCUGAUGUGAAAAUCCGGGGCCCAACCCCGGAACUGCAUUGGAAACUGUAUUUCUAGAGUGUCGGAGAGGCAAGUGGAAUUCCUGGUGUAGCGGUGAAAUGCGUAGAUAUCAGGAGGAACACCAGUGGCGAAGGCGGCUUGCUGGACGAUGACUGA
rnacentral:rRNA from 1 species